GUGCCGAAAGCUCAUUAGGUAUGAGCGGUCCCCUCAUAAGGGAAGGGUAGACGGGUUCGAAUCCCUCUCGGCGCACCA
rnacentral:tRNA from 1 species